GUGUUUUAGGUCCCAACAGUGUCCCUUUGAUUGUCUACUCUUGCUCCUUACUAAACUCAAGGUUAUAUAUAUAUUUUCUUUUAUUCUUCUUUAAUCCUCCAACUUUCACUCUUUCCCUGAUAGUACUGGGGUCACUCUUGAUUAAAAGCUGAGCUUGAAUCAUGUGAUCUCAUGUCCCAAAAAAGGUUGGUUGGGGAGCCUGAGUGGGUGGGGCACCAUGGGAGGCCAAAAGGGGGGAUAUUAUGCCCCUUACAUCAAGCUCUUUUGGAAUCAACUGUCAAGCUCAUAUGAUUUAUAGGUUUUGGUUCGAGAUUGGCUAAUCCUGAGCCGAUGGUUACUCAUUCUUCUCCUAUCUUACAUAAAGAAUCCGAGGUCUUGGGAUGACGAUUUUUAUACAUACGUAGGAGUAGAAAGAAUACUAACGACCAAGUAAUCACAAUAUCAUCCAGCUCCUUAUAAUCCAAGCCAAAUCAAAUUCUUUUGUCGACCAGAAAAGAAAACUUUCCUUAUACAUUAGAUGUACCAGUUUCUUUCCCUUAAAGCGCGAAAUAUUUUAGGAGGAAUCAAAAAGGUAUGGCCGACGGAAUUCUAUUGUUAGUUUUCUCGGGGCCUAUUAAUGUAGUAGUAGCCUAAUGCAUUCCAAUCACAUGAGCCAUGUGAAACCCACGGCUGAAGCAAAAUGACACUGAAACAACACAUUGUUUUCUUUCAAAGAAAGGGGCCACAUUGUAAGUCCAAAAUCAGCAAUUCUGAGGCUAAUUAUAAAACAACUGUGAAAAGCGGCCACAUUCAAAGAAAGGGGCCACAUUGUAAGUCCAAAAUCAGCAAUUCUGACCUUAGUUGCGGCCACUUGGUGGUUGGUUUGGCGCGAUAGAAAUAAUGUCAUCUUCAGAAAUCUACCCACCGAUGUUUCUCGAACAACUAGUCUUAUUGGUGUGUUGGCAAAAGAGUGGGCCGAGUCCUGUAGAGCUGGGUGACGUCUGACGUCUGAUCUGAUUCUCUUUCUUUUUCGUAUUUUUUCUUCUGUUUUUUCGCUUCUUCUUCGGAGGUCCUGGCUGCCUCACUCUAUGUAGCUAAUUUCAUUUUCUUAAUGAAUGAAGCAGGUAGCGUGCUACCUUUUUCUCAAAAAAAAAUUAUAAAACAAGAAUCAGGGGAGGGUAGUACUAACUACCCACGUUAUCUCUUGUGAUCAAACAAAAGUCCUAGUACAUCAUAAAAAAAUUUUCGUACCUAAGAAUCCCUAAAUUUCGGUAGAAGUUGGACCGAUCUCCAGGGCCAAGCUAGCACUUCACCUGCUCACUUGUCCUCAUUCAUCUUACCACAUAUGAUCAAUUCUUAGCAUCAUCUAAACUAAAACAGCAAAAUGUUCCAUGAAUCGCUCAGAAGUCAAACUUUGGCCUCGAUCCCGGGAUAUGUUCCUUUCUUCAAAAUAUUCUGUAAUUUAUUCUAAAAUGUCCAAGAGAAAAACCUAACCCGUCAUUGUAGGGAUAGAAGGAAAUAAGGCCGCAGUUUCUGCUUGUUGUUUGAAUUUGACGCUUCUUUCAGAAAUUAGACUCAUCACUGCACUGCACAAUUCCUAAUGCUAUAAUUGUAGACUAGUUGGACAGCUAUUAAUCACACAAAAUUAGAAUGCCACGGAACAAACAAACAAACAACCCUACUCUACCCCGAAAUAGAGGAAGAAAAUUGACCCCUGUAAACACAAUCUACCAGUAAUUCAAGAGCAGUUGAUGAAAUAUAUAGGUGUUAGACUCUAAUAUAUUUUUCAGAAAUUGUCCGGGCCUUGUCAAUUCAAUCCGACCGAGAACUAUCAGUAAUUAUUAGGUAAAAUCAUGUCGAAUCACAAACAGUGUUAUUAUCCAAUCAAUUUGUAGAUUCAACGAUAGAUAGAUAAUACGUUGUCGCGUAAAAAAAACUGCAGAUCAUGAUGAUACACCUAUUCUAAUGGAAGCCCUAAGUUGAUGAAUUAUGCCGAGUAAAAUAUAUGGUCUAAUAAAUGUAGGUAACAACAUUGCAAGCAUCCACAACUCACUAACACGAGCUCGUUAACACAAUCAUCGGAAACAUUCGAGGGUUUCGGGUAUCAGCGAUUAAGAACAAGCAUAAAAUAGAGAAUAAAUUUACCAAAUUUUGAGAGAACGAAGAUGGGCAUUCGAGAAGAAAAAGAAUCGCAGGAUAAAUUCAGAAGGGAAAAAAUAAUAAAAUAAAACGUUUAGGACCUUCGUUUUCGGAGUGAGAGGAGGGAUCUUAGUAGACGACGGAGAACGAGACUUCCGUGAGAAGGUGGAGGUGCGGAGGGUCGGGACGUUUCCCUCGUUUAUUUCCCGGCAGCUCUCAUAAGUCGGCGGCGAAGCAUCCGAAAUUUUCUGCUUGUCGGGAAUACGGCAACGAUGCACUCACGUCUGCCGACUUUUUAGUUUCUGUGGCAAGUCGGUGACGAAUCGCUAUUAUGUGGCCGAUAUGCGGCAUCUGCGUUUCCAAAGUCGGCGGUGGAACCCGUUGCCUUGCAGAGAUUUCUUUUUUUGGUAGAUUUUGAUAAUAACUCUAUAUUGCAAACACUUGAUGUGAUUUUCUGUGUUUUGUGAGAUUGGUGGCUUCAUCCUGAAGACUUUUCUGGAUUAAUGGAGCAUAAAAUGUUUCCGGAAUUCAAGAACGGUGAAUUUUAAUUUUUUUAAAGUCAUUAUUAUUUUUUUUAUCGUCUAUUUUGAUGGAAGUUCACUUGUUGAAAGUAAGAGCCUAUCUCUUUGUUUUUGUUGAUUAGUGAAAUUCAGUUAUAGUAUAAAUAACUUUUUAGCACUUUCAGUAUUUAUUUUAUCACCAAUCAAUUUAUUCUAACAUUUUUAGAAAAUUUUGGAUAAACUUUAGAGAAGCAAUGUUACCUGUACACUUGUAAAAUUAAACUAGCUUUUCAGAGUUUAUGAUUUAUUUACUUAUCUUAUAAUUAAAAAUAUUUUAAAUACCAAAAAAGUUCAAAAGAGUUAUCUAAACUCUAGAAUCAUCAUCAUGUGCAAGGUUUAUACUUUAUAAUCAUAUAAUGGAAUGUGUAGAAAAAAAGGCAUAGUAAUCGGUGCAUAUUAUUUGGUAAUGAGACAACGCUGUGUUAAUCUGCAGCAUUUACAUUUUUGAAGUUGGCGGCGAAACCCGUUGUCUUGCUAAACUUUAUUUUCCUUCUUUUAUUGUAGAGUUCGUUAGCAACACUACCUUGCGAACACUAGAUGAAAUUUUUAUGCUUAGUUAGAUUGAUUAUUGUUGGUUUUAUUAUGGCUUAUCUAGAUUGACGAAACAUAGAUGUAGGCAGAACUCAAGUACAGUAAAUUUUUUUAAAAAAUUUUAAAAAAAGUCUUUGUCUUUUAUGGAAGUCCACGAGGUCCAGAGUAAGAUGCAAUCUUUUUAUUAUUUAUUAGUAAAAUUUCUUAAGAUCUCUGAAAACAUUUAUUAGAAACUGGCGCAUAGAAACCGGUGAACAGUAAUCGGCAACGAGACUGUCUAAAGCGCCGACUUAAGCUCCUAAUGAGAAUUGGCGACGGAGUGGGAGGAUCGGACGGUCAAUGUCAAGCGGCCGCUGUUCCGUGGUCGUAGGAUCAGACGGCCAUUAUGGCUUCUCUUCCGUGGGGAGGAAGUCAAGCGCGCCACCACCAACUACCGCUGCCUCCGUCUUCGACUGGCGAUCGAAGAACCCAAAAAGAGAGGAAGCGAGAAAAGGGAGGAGGAGAUCUAAAAAGAAAAAAGAAAAAAAAAAAAAGGGGAAAAAAAAAGCACUUGCAAGGAAAGAGAAAAUGCCGACCAUCACGAAGCUAUAUAGCAUGGAAGAGGUGUCGAAGCACAACACCAACGACGAUUGUUGGAUCGUCGUCAACGGCAACGUAUUAUUGCUUUUGCUCUCCCCCUCCCUCUCUCUCUCUUUCUGUGUAUGUGGUGUGUUCAGCUGUUCAUCCUUAUGUGAGCGCUAUUUUUUUUUCUUUUUUUUUUGUUUGAUUUAAUGGUUGUUAAACGAUAGGUUCUGAACUGUGCGCAUCUACGUUUCAUUCGAUCGUUUCUAUACGCUUUGAUCCUUCCUUGAGUCCGUGUUGAUCAGCUCCGAGGAAGAAUCGCUCCAUUGGGUUAUCUAGGGUUUUUACGGAAAGUAGUUUUUUUUUUAAAAAAAAAAAAACCUCAUUUUGUUUGAGAGUCGGAAUUGGAGGGUUUUAAGCUUCAAUUUUGGUGUUAUGGUCGAAUUUGAAGGGAAUUUUAAAACUUUGUGAUGCAAUUUGACAAAUUAAGCUUUUGUUUUAUCUGCCUUAAUGUUAAGCUUUCAUCCGAAGAAAGAGUUGGAAUAGUUGGAAUGAUAGGGCAGUGAAAGAUAUUACAAUCUGCUAAAAGUUACAGCAAGGGUAAGCUAGGAAAUUUGUGUGAUCUGCCUUUUCUCACUACCACUCCAAUAUGCAGUUGUUGCCCUUGUUCGUUCUAAGUGUUGGUAAAAGUACAAAUUUUUUCCUAUUAUCUAUUAGAAAUUUAGAAUAGUUGUACUAGUUGCUAAAUCAGUGCUAAAAUGGCGAUUUGUAACUGUAAUGAGUUUAUUGUGAUUCAUGAUCCGAUUUAUAAAUGUUACAGAAACCUCUGCUUUAGUGCACCUCGAGUUCUAGAAAUCCCUUUUUCCUUGGGAGAGGUCUAGAUCUAUUGGGGCAUGUCUAAGAUUUCUGGAGCUCUUAUCAUUAGAAGCGUGUUCCAAAUUUGUUAGCUUUCGCCCUCAAUUGGCUACGAUAUUUCUGUUCAUUGUAUAGUCACAUGCAAUUAACACAAGUGGAAAGACUUUUCUGCGAAUAAGAUACCUGUGCAUAUACUAGUUAUAGAAGGAAAUGAUGCAUGCAAGGUAAGCCGAUUAGCUAUUCUUAAAGAAUAAGUUCAAGGGUGACUGGUUUUGUGUCAAAGAGUUCUGAAACCAAGCAGACACUCAAGUUUGAAACAACACCGUUUUUCUUUCUUUUCUAUGAAAUGAGAUGGUGCUGCUAAGAUUCACAUCAGUGUGAUUAGUUUAAAUCUUUUAAUUAGCUGGUUUGAACUUCCAAGCAUGUUUAAAAGGAUUGGAUCGGAUAUUUUGCAUACCAGGAUAAAAUUUUAUUGUGAAAACUUAUAAUGGUGUAAUAGCCUAUCUGUGAUAGAAUUUUGUUGUAUAAACUGCUGACAAGGUCAGAGACAGAAUGUUCUAUGAGGUACAUAAUUUAUAUCUACUUAAACAACUUUUUAAUGCAUGUGCAUUUGCGUAUAUAUUUCUGCUGGAACACUUUUUUUUUUUUUUUUUUUUUUNUUACUGCCGGACUACAAAUGUUUAUCCAUGCUUGCUAUCAUUCAUUCUUUUGGACCGUAGUGGUAGCUGCUUUGAUAAGCAUGUCACUGAAAAUUUGUUUAGAAGAGCCCGAAUGUUCAAAUCUUGGUUGGAGAUUUACUAUGAUCCUCAGAAUUGUGUCCCUGUUAUUAAUGGCAGGUUUAUGAUGUGACAAUGUACUUGGAUGAGCAUCCUGGAGGCGAUGAUGUUUUGCUCGCAGCAACUGGUAUUUGUUUCCUUAAUCCCUCAAUUUUCUUUUCGUAUCCCCGUUAAAUUAACUAGCUUUCUUUUACCGCCGCUUAUCCUAUACUUGGCACGGUAGUGGUUCUGUUUUAUUGGUCUAAUUCGUGAGCAUAUUAUUCUGUAGGAAAGGAUGCAACUGAAGAUUUCGAAGAUGCCGGGCAUAGUAAAACUGCUAGAGAUCUCAUGCAGGAGUAUUUCAUAGGGGAGUUAGACACCACCACUCUUAUCUCAACUCCCAUUGCAGAGCUCGAGAUUUUCCAGAAAGACAAAUCAUCAUCAGAUUUCUCCUCCAAGCUAAUGAGCAAGGCAGUGCAAUACUGGGCCUUCCCUGCAGCCAUUAUUGGGAUCUCUGUUGUUGCGGCCAUUUUGUGCACGCGUAAGAAGUAGAAUAAUUGGUUUGGUCAAAGAUAAAUACAUACACAAUUUUGUUUUCUUUAUUUUAUAUCAGAUUACAUUAUUCAAAAAACAAAUUCUGAAUCUAACAUUGAAUUUAAAUGGGACUCUGAGAUGGGGAGGCAGAACUGGCGAACACGAUAUUAUUAAAACUGCUGCCAUAAAUUUAUCUUUUCAUGGCUGUAUGCCGAUUAUUUUUCACUGCUGGAGAAGAAGCUGUUGAGUGCCGGCAUCACCUCCGGGCGUCGGCUGCUGAGGAAUUUGCGCAAGCUGUGUUGGCUGUACUUUUCGCCUUCUUCGGCGUUGUCAGGGACUGCGGUGGUGCGAUUUGUCUUGUUGAUCCUGCGAGAUCGAAAGGUUAGUUUUUUUUUUUUGUUAGCACGGCCCUUAAGUGGAAAAUAUUUUAUUAACAGAUUUUCUGCUCGCCAUGUCUGCUAAACCCGAUCUGAGAUAUUCAUGUGCUGUGUCCUUCAUCUUUUUGAUGGUUUGGAAUUUGCUAGUAUAACUAGUCUGGGGGAAAUUAUUGUGGCCUUUCUGAUUUUGGUAAAAAUGUCUAUACGACCUAUGGUUACAGUUAUAAUUCUAUAAGAUGGUUUUGUGAACUAUGUAUGACGAUAUAUGCCCGUAUGUGUGUACGACAUUGAAAUUAUGUGAGCACACAACUCUCAUGGCUUACAACAACAUGGAAUUAGGAACCACAGAGGUAGAUCUUGCCUGACGUCGGGGUUGAGGAUGAUGUUUCUUGUGAGCUGGAACACGCACAUGCCCGUCACGAACGUCAUCGCAGCCAUUAGAGGGUACACCUGUAGUAUCGAUCACAUGCAUGCACGCACGUAAGAACAGAAAAAUGAUCGUCGGCGACAUCUUUGAUCAUCGGUCAGCCGUUUUUGUGUGUAGCAGGGCAAGAGAAGAAACAGGUUUCUUACCUCGGGCUUCGCCCAACGAGCCAUUGAUUAGGAAAUUAAGCCUGCCUUGAUAUGAAUGUCUUAGUACGGUACUGUGUAUUGCACCUAUACCGGCACGUAAAUGACUGCAUGAGAGAAUAUAUAUAGAUAUAUAAGGAGAGGGCAGAGGUGAUAAGGUUCGAGAAAGUUUGAUGCUUCAAAUUCCUGGAAUGCAAGUUGGGUAGGUUUCUGUGGGCGGGAUAAGACUAAUCUUUGAAUCUUAUAGCAGGUUCGAUUCAAAAACCAUGAACUCCGCCUCCUGUUUUAUUACAUUAAAAUCAUUGUUAAAUUCGGGUCAUAAUAUUGUAGAGUUUAAUUCGCCACCUCUUUCUUAGUUAGCUCGACGAGUACUCUCCUCCAGAAGGGAACUGAUUCGUAUGCUCUUCGCCUGAGUUUUUGCAUAAACAAACGUCUCCUUAUGUAAUUAGAAAUAUGUGCGAUAUGUGCGAGUUAGAACAUCAGGGAGACAAUAAUAAUUUCAGAUUAAGAAGGCGACGUUGUCAGUUAAAAGUUGGGCUCAGAGAUCAGAUGGAUAUGCGGGUCUAGCUCGGCCCCAAUCUGAUCCAAACUUUUAAAAACGAAAUAGGGCUUGGCCUGGACCCAGCCCAGUUUGAGUCUUCCUUUCUUGCAGCGAGAUGGGGAGUAGAUUGAAUGAUAAUUAAUAAUUAGAUAGAAUGAUAAUUAAUAAUAAUUCGACCACAAAAUUAAAUUAAAAUCAAUGAAAUAUCAUUGAUUAGAAUGUGUUGUUGAGUGACGUGGCGGACCUCAUCAAGUCAAGGCAAUAAUACCUGGUUGAGUUGUCGCGUGCGUGUCCCAGAGGAGGAAUUCUACACUGUCACACUUGCACCACGUCAUCAAUAACAAGCCAAUCAUAUUUCUUCUUUUCAAACAAAAGUACAAUAAAAAUACUUUUUUACAAUCAUGAUGGGACAUAUAUUUUUAAAAGGAUUAAUUUGAUUAGUUUGUUACGCCACGUCAUUAAUAUAUCCGUUGCAUUUUAGAAUUUUUCGUCCCAGAGCACCUCUCCUCUUUAUUAAUUAAAUUAAUUAAACUAUUAUGUUACAACAACAA
rnacentral:lncRNA from 1 species